rnacentral:rRNA from 1 species
UUAAGCGACUAAGCGUACACGGUGGAUGCCCGGCAGUCAGAGGCGAUGAAGGACGUGCUAAUCUGCGAUAAGCGUCGGUGAGGUGAUAUGAACCGUUAUAACCGGCGAUUUCCGAAUGGGGAAACCCAGUGUGUUUCGACACACUAUCAUUAACUGAAUCCAUAGGUUAAUGAGGCGAACCGGGGAACUGAAACAUCUAAGUACCCCGAGGAAAAGAAAUCAACCGAGAUUCCCCAGUAGCGGCGAGCGAACGGGGAGGAGCCCAGAGCCUGAAUCAGUGUGUGUGUUAGUGGAAGCGUCUGGAAAGGCGUGCGAUACAGGGUGACAGCCCCGUACACAAAAAUGCACAUAUUGUGAGCUCGAUGAGUAGGGCGGGACACGUGGUAUCCUGUCUGAAUAUGGGGGACCAUCCUCCAAGGCUAAAUACUCCUGACUGACCGAUAGUGAACCAGUACCGUGAGGGAAAGGCGAAAAGAACCCCGGCGAGGGGAGUGAAAAGAACCUGAAACCGUGUACGUACAAGCAGUGGGAGCCUCUUUAUGGGGUGACUGCGUACCUUUGUAUAAUGGGUCAGCGACUUAUAUUCUGUAGCAAGGUUAACCGAAUAGGGGAGCCGAAGGGAAACCGAGUCUUAACUGGGCGUUAAGUUGCAGGGUAUAGACCCGAAACCCGGUGAUCUAGCCAUGGGCAGGUUGAAGGUUGGGUAACACUAACUGGAGGACCGAACCGACUAAUGUUGAAAAAUUAGCGGAUGACUUGUGGCUGGGGUGAAAGGCCAAUCAAACCGGGAGAUAGCUGGUUCUCCCCGAAAGCUAUUUAGGUAGCGCCUCGUGAAUUCAUCUCCGGGGUAGAGCACUGUUUCGGCAAGGGGUCAUCCCGACUUACCAACCCGAUGCAAACUGCGAAUACCGGAGAAUGUUAUCACGGGAGACACACGGCGGGUGCUAACGUCCGUCGUGAAGAGGGAAACAACCCAGACCGCCAGCUAAGGUCCCAAAGUAUGGUUAAGUGGGAAACGAUGUGGGAAGGCCCAGACAGCCGGAUGUUGGCUUAGAAGCAGCCAUCAUUUAAAGAAAGCGUAAUAGCUCACUGGUCGAGUCGGCCUGCGCGGAAGAUGUAACGGGCUAAACCAUGCACCGAAGCUGCGGCAGCGACACUAUGUGUUGUUGGGUAGGGGAGCGUUCUGUAAGCCUGUGAAGGUGGCCUGUGAGGGUUGCUGGAGGUAUCAGAAGUGCGAAUGCUGACAUAAGUAACGAUAAAGCGGGUGAAAAGCCCGCUCGCCGGAAGACCAAGGGUUCCUGUCCAACGUUAAUCGGGGCAGGGUGAGUCGACCCUAAGGCGAGGCCGAAAGGCGUAGUCGAUGGGAAACAGGUUAAUAUUCCUGUACUUGGUGUUACUGCGAAGGGGACGGAGAAGGCUAUGUUGGCCGGGCGACGGUUGUCCCGGUUUAAGCGUGUAGGCUGGUUUUCCGGGCAAAUCCGGAAAACCAAGGCUGAGGCGUGAUGACGAGGCACUACGGUGCUGAAGCGACAAAUGCCCUGCUUCCGGGAAAAGCCUCUAAGCAUCAGGUAACAUCAAAUCGUACCCCAAACCGACACAGGUGGUCAGGUAGAGAAUACCAAGGCGCUUGAGAGAACUCGGGUGAAGGAACUAGGCAAAAUGGUGCCGUAACUUCGGGAGAAGGCACGCUGAUAUGUAGGUGAAGCGACUUGCUCGUGGAGCUGAAAUCAGUCGAAGAUACCAGCUGGCUGCAACUGUUUAUUAAAACACAGCACUGUGCAAACACGAAAGUGGACGUAUACGGUGUGACGCCUGCCCGGUGCCGGAAGGUUAAUUGAUGGGGUUAGCGGUAACGCGAAGCUCUUGAUCGAAGCCCCGGUAAACGGCGGUAGUAACUAUAACGGUCCUAAGGUAGCGAAAUUCCUUGUCGGGUAAGUUCCGACCUGCACGAAUGGCGUAAUGAUGGCGGGCUGUCUCCACCCGAGACUCAGUGAAAUUGAACUCGCUGUGAAGAUGCAGUGUACCCGCGGCAAGACGGAAAGACCCCGUGAACCUUUACUAUAGCUUGACACUGAACAUUGAGCCUUGAUGUGUAGGAUAGGUGGGAGGCUUUGAAGUGUGGACGCCAGUCUGCAUGGAGCCGACCUUGAAAUACCACCCUUUAAUGUUUGAUGUUCUAACGUUGGCCCGUAAUCCGGGUUGCGGACAGUGUCUGGUGGGUAGUUUGACUGGGGCGGUCUCCUCCUAAAGAGUAACGGAGGAGCACGAAGGUUGGCUAAUCUGGUCGGACAUCAGGAGGUUAGUGCAAUGGCAUAAGCCAGCUUGACUGCGAGCGUGACGGCGCGAGCAGGUGCGAAAGCAGGUCAUAGUGAUCCGGUGGUUCUGAAUGGAAGGGCCAUCGCUCAACGGAUAAAAGGUACUCCGGGGAUAACAGGCUGAUACCGCCCAAGAGUUCAUAUCGACGGCGGUGUUUGGCACCUCGAUGUCGGCUCAUCACAUCCUGGGGCUGAAGUAGGUCCCAAGGGUAUGGCUGUUCGCCAUUUAAAGUGGUACGCGAGCUGGGUUUAGAACGUCGUGAGACAGUUCGGUCCCCUAUCUGCCGUGGGCGCUGGAGAACUGAGGGGGCUGCUCCUAGUACGAGAGGACCGGAGUGGACGCAUCACUGGUGUUCGGGUUGUCAUGCCAAUGGCACUGCCCGGUAGCUAAAUGCGGAAGAGAUAAGUGCUGAAAGCAUCUAAGCACGAAACUUGCCCCGAGAUGAGUUCUCCCUGACUCCUUGAGAGUCCUGAAGGAACGUUGAAGACGACGACGUUGAUAGGCCGGGUGUGUAAGCGCAGCGAUGCGUUGAGCUAACCGGUACUAAUGAACCGUGAGGCUUAACCUU